GCAACCAUGUGGUCUGUGGUGACAACAACGUCGACAACCCGGAAAACAAGCUAGAACGUCACAGUACGGAUCGUCUCCUUGGAAGUUCUAGAUUUAUUGUCUCCUCGUGUUGGGUACGAAACGAUCCGUAGGGGGACCUGUGGGGUUUCACAAUGGUGUGACUUCUGAUAAAUGCCGGCACCUAUGUGGUGCAAAAGAUCUCCACCUUCCUCAGAGGACGGGAACAAAAGGAACAGCCUGUCCUUACACCAUGUAGCCUGGCACAAGUUAAAAAUAAGGAGCGUGUGAGUCAGAAGCAGUUAAUGACCGAGGCGAUAUCAGCCUCAGACCCAGAAGAUGGCUCAUGCUCUGCUCCACAAACGACGACUGCAAUAAAGAAAUUUGACUCCUGAGGUUAAAGGUCAUGCAGCUGUAGAGUAUGAUGGUCUGUUCAUCAACCUCUUACUCAGGGACUGUGCAGACUUGAGAUUUUCCUCCAGCUGUACCAUCUGUUUCCUUAACAAAUUGAUCCAUUAAAAAAUACUAUUCAAUGUUAUCGAUAUCGCCAACACUUUUACAAUAAAGACUUAAAAUGUGUUAAAAUGACUAAAAUGCAACCUUAAAAUAAAAUACUUUUCUUCUUGA